rnacentral:rRNA from 1 species
CAGCCGCCGCGGUAAUACGUAGGGUGCGAGCGUUAAUCGGAAUUACUGGGCGUAAAGCGUGCGCAGGCGGUUUUGUAAGACAGGCGUGAAAUCCCCGGGCUCAACCUGGGAAUGGCGCUUGUGACUGCAAAGCUAGAGUGCGGCAGAGGGGGAUGGAAUUCCGCGUGUAGCAGUGAAAUGCGUAGAUAUGCGGAGGAACACCGAUGGCGAAGGCAAUCCCCUGGGCCUGCACUGACGCUCAUGCACGAAAGCGUGGGGAGCAAACAGGAUUAGAUACCCCGGUAGUCCCUGUCUCUUAUAC